UUUUGCAUAUGUAUGCAAAUUUAUGUUUAUAUUGUAUAUUAAUAUUUAAUAUAAAUAUAUUUCUAGUGUAUGAUAUAUAUUAAAUUAUAUAUAUUUUAAAUAUUUGUGCUGGAAAAGUCAUCCUGCUUGAGCAAAAGAGAAAGUGGAAUGGAGGCGACAUGGUGCUGAUGUCCUACAGCAACCUUGUAGACUUGUAGAGAAUGACAGCUUGGUCCCCAGCCAGAGGUCUUCAGCCUCCCCAUCUUCCCAGAAGCGGCUUCAGUAUGAGGUUAUGGGCAUAAACCACCCUCCCAGAUAUGCAGUGUAUCUCUGGGAAAUGGAUUUAACCUUUCAGUGAUCCAAGUAUGAAUGAUGAUAGAUGCCUGGGGGUUGCCCCCAUAAUUCUGUGACAAUGAGAACUGUUGAACUAUUAAGGGAGUUUGGAAAAAUAAAAUGAGCUUACGAAGGUGAGACUUCCAGCAACCGCUAAAACUGUAAAGGUAUUUGAAAUGAAACUCUCUGGCCCCUCGUAAAUUUAUACCCUCAAUUUCCUGGGAGAUUGCACUCCUCAAUUUGUUCUGGGGAGUUCUAAAUCACACGUUGGCGUCUGACAGCCCAUAUGUCAGCUGCAGUAGGUGGGGCCAGGCAAAGACCCGGCUAGGUGGCACCACUUGGCCUGCAUCUCAUAUUUCCUCCUUCUUCUUCACAUUCCAUCACUUAUAAGAAUAGAUCCACUGUUGCUUACACAAACCUUACAGAAGUCGUGGAACAAGAAGAGAAGGCCUUUAGCGGGGCCAAAUUUCCUUAGCUUAACUAACAUCUUGUCUAAAAGAGGAAGAAUGCCCUUGCCCUGAAAUGGGGGUUCAAGUUUCCCCAGAGCCACUAAAGCAACCACAAACAGAUGAUAACAUGUUGUUGUAAUCUUAGAGUUUCUCUGGGGAGGGGGGGGUGACAGUUAAGAGAGUGCCAGUUACCCUUGUGGCUUAACUGAGUCUUAGUUUUCUCACCUAUAAAAUGGGGCAGUGGAGAUCACUAGUGGUCAACAAAGAUGUCCCCUUUCAAUGGCCUGAGCAUCUGUCUUCUUAUCAGUGUUUCAAGUUCCGAUCCAGUGUUGCCUGGUUAUUUAUUUCAUUACUACUACUUUUUAAAACACAAUAACCUUUGAUCCCUCUCCCCACUUCCCCUUUACAAGGUACCAACCAGCCUUAGUAAAGUCCCAUGACCUUGUCCUAUGGUGAUUCAACCAAACUCAGGAUUUUACACUGCAUGGAUGUAAUUUGGGUAUCAUCAGUCCCAUGAGUUUUUUGUCAGCCACACAUAGUAUUUGGAGGCGGGAGAGGAUUUUAUUCUCAGGCCAUACUUUCUCCUCUGUGCUGAAGACUGAUUUAUAUGUUCUAAUUUUAGUUUCUCGGCCAAUCUUUUUCUUCUAUUUUCAGAGAUCUCUUAUUUUCAUUCAGAAAAAAAAAAUCUCAUCACAGGUCAGUCAAUAGAUAUUUCUAAACAAUCCUUGUACAUCCCACAUCAUGGCUAACCUAGAAGAAAAUAAAGUAUCAGACAGUAAGGGCUUCAAUUUGAAAUCAGAGGAAAACAAAACUAACAAAAUCCCAGCAAGCAAGCACUUGCUGAAGUGUAUCUGUGGGAGAGGACCGAGAGCCUAAGGAAAAGUGAGCGUCCACACCAGUUUUCUAGGAACCCAUUCUGUUUACACCUGCUACAUUGGUGUAAUUGUUAUUAUUAAUCCCUCAACCUUCAAAACUGUACCGGUUUGGAUGAUAAACCAUAAAGUUACCUUAAUGAUGGCUCAUCUAUAGAAGUGGAUUCAACAAAGACUAUAACCAUAGCAACUAGGAACCAUGCUGAUGGGCGCUUUGUUUGCACAGAUGACCUCACACUCCGAGUGUAUUUUAGCUUGGAUGAGACAAUUCCUUCUAUUGCCGGUGAGAUUUGUAAAGGCUGGGCUUGUCCUGUUGGUUAAUCUGAUGCAAAGACUCUUCUCUGUGUUCAUAUUCUGAUCUCUGGGAUAGGCUUAGACUACUGCUAAGACAUGCCGGGUCUUUUGUCUAUGGGAAACAGGUCAAGAUCAGCCCUAAGGAAUGGGCAAAAAGUGAACGGUAGUCACUUCAGUGUAGUCCACAUGAAGGAAGGAGGCAGGAGGUCUCACCAGCUCAGCUUGACAGCCUGGUCUGAGCAUCCACUCCAUGCUGGGUGCUCAGCCUUUAGUCAGUGAGACAGAAGGAAUUGCAUGAGCAACAACAGAAUAGUCAAGCACUAAGAAAAGCUUGGCCUGCGAUCAAUUUGGUGUUGGUGGAAGUGUGCAUUAUACAUCAGUGGGAGGCAGGAGACAUGGCUGUCGAUGCUGGCAGAGGCUAAAUGAUGGAGGACCUACAUCAUCAAGCAUUAUGGGUUUCCUCUGGAAUUGAAACGGCAUCUCCAAUGUCAUCCCAUCCUGGGGCCUCUCCUUGUUCUGACAGUUACAUUUUGCAGCAAGAUGACCUGGUUUUCAGGAUCUUACUGAUCUCUCAGAACCUCUGUGCUCCCCACCUGGGGCUCUGUCCAUGUCUUGAUCACAUUAUCAGAUGUAGCAGAUCUGAUGACACAGUUCCUAGGGAUCCAGGACAAAGAGUACCAGCAGCAACUGCCAGCCUUGGGCACUCGUCCUCGUGUUUGUGGUCACCUCUAGACGCUACAGAAGAACUGAUGCAGCAAGAACAAUCGAUUGAUGGGGGUCAAGUUGGGGUUUCCACAGCAAUUGCUGACAAUGCCGAGCUGACAUAGAAGGCGCUGUCUACUCUUCUGGGGCACUUAGAUGGUAUAAAAGGCCACUUAACCCAGUGUGCAGUUGCAGCCUUGAGCUGCGAAUCUUGAACUCCCUGCCAUUCUGAUGUACAGCAUGUAAAAAGCACGUGAUUAUGUUUAUCCUGGGAGUGCGCGCUCUUGGCCACAGCAGCAGAUCAGUCUGGAAUAAGCAAAUAGAAUCACCCCAAAAGGCAAACUGCAAAAGCUAUCUGCAAUCACACGAGGAGGGCAUGCCAACAGAGAUUCUUUUCAAAGAAGAGAAUUACAGGAAAGAAAUAGAUGACUAAGAACUUUUAAAAAAUCAAGUGCAGACGUUUGUUUUCCCAUUUGCUAGACGUGAGGGCUAAACAUGAUACUGUCUCUAGGGUUGAUUUGCUGACAAAUCAACAAUGAUGUGAGGGAGUGUGGCCAGCCUUCUUUUUCCCCUGAGGACGGCGGAGAUGCCAAGAGAUGGAGGCCAUCUUGUCUAAAAUAGGACCGUGAGGUUACUGGCUGAGUUUGGUCUAUCCUAGGUCAUGUGGAUACCCAGUUCACCUUGGAUAUCCAUCCAAAAUGCCUAAAAACAGGGUCUCUCACUGAAGCGGGACCUCCCAGUUCGGUUAGACUGGUCCUGAGUUCAAUUCCCAGCAACCACAUGGUGGCUUACAACCAUCUGUAAUGAGAUCUGGUGCCCUCUUCUGGUGUGUCUGAAGACAGCUAUAGUGUACUUAUAUAUAAUAAAUGAAUACAUCUUGAAGAAAGAAGAAGAAGAAGAAGAAGAAGAAGAAGAAGAAGAAGAAGAAGAAGAAGAAGAAGAAGAAGAAGAAGAAGAAGAA